rnacentral:rRNA from 1 species
CCUACGGGAGGCAGCAGUAGGGAAUCUUCCGCAAUGGACGAAAGUCUGACGGAGCAACGCCGCGUGAACGAUGAAGGCCUUCGGGUCGUAAAGUUCUGUUGUUAGGGAAGAACAAGUGCUAGUUAAAUAAGCUGGCACCUUGACGGUACCUAACCAGAAAGCCACGGCUAACUACGUGCCAGCAGCCGCGGUAAUACGUAGGUGGCAAGCGUUGUCCGGAAUUAUUGGGCGUAAAGCGCGCGCAGGCGGUUUCUUAAGUCUGAUGUGAAAGCCCCCGGCUCAACCGGGGAGGGUCAUUGGAAACUGGGAAACUUGAGUGCAGAAGAGGAAAGUGGAAUUCCAAGUGUAGCGGUGAAAUGCGUAGAGAUUUGGAGGAACACCAGUGGCGAAGGCGACUUUCUGGUCUGUAACUGACGCUGAGGCGCGAAAGCGUGGGGAGCAAACAGGAUUAGAUACCCUGGUAGUCCACGCUGUAAACGAUGAGUGCUAAGUGUUAGAGGGUUUCCGCCCUUUAGUGCUGAAGUUAACGCAUUAAGCNCUCGCUGGAGUACGUCGCAGANGAACUAAUAGAGUAGAGCGUGAGAGUGCGACGACGACGACGAGGGAGAGG